rfam:Penicillium steckii strain IBT 24891 PENSTE_contig001, whole genome shotgun sequence.
GCGGGGAUAGCUCAGCUGGGAGAGCGCCAGACUGAAGUCUACUUUAGUCCAUUAAUCUGGAGGUCGUGUGUUCGAUCCACACUCACCGCA